rnacentral:rRNA from 1 species
CUUCCGCCGGCGACCGGCGCACGGGUGAGUAACACGUAUGCAACCUGCCCCUGUCAGGGGGACAACCCGCCGAAAGGCGGGCUAAACCCGCGUACAUGCCACCGGGGCAUCCCGGAGGCAGGAAAGGCUUCGGCCGGACAGGGAUGGGCAUGCGGCGCAUUAGGCAGUAGGCGGGGUAACGGCCCACCUAACCGACGAUGCGUAAGGGUUCUGAGAGGAAGGUCCCCCACACUGGUACUGAGACACGGACCAGACUCCUACGGAAGGCAGCAG